rnacentral:rRNA from 1 species
GACGAACGCUGGCGGCGUGCUUAACACAUGCAAGUCGAACGCAGUGGCGAACGGGUGAGUAACGCGUAAUCAACCUGCCCUUCAGAGGGGGAUAACAGUUGGAAACGACUGAUAAUACCGCAUACGGAAGGAGGGGAUUGCGUCUGAUUAGCUAGUUGGAGGGGUAACGGCCCACCAAGGCGAUGAUCAGUAGCCGGGCUGGGAGGAUGGACGGCCCCAUUGGGACUGGGACACGGGCCAGACUCCGUCGGGAGGCAGCAGUGGGGAAUCUUCAGGAAUGGACGGAAGUCUUGCGGAGCAACGCCGCGUGAGUGAUGACGGCCUUCGGGUUGUAAAGCUCUGUGAAUCGGGACGCGGUACCGGAAUAGAAAGCCACGGCUAACUACGUGCCAGCAGCCGCGGUAAUUC